AUGAGCUACUACGAUCAUCAGCAACAGCCUCCAGUCGGUGUUCCUCCCCCACAAGGGUAUCCUCAGAAAGACGCUUAUCCACCACCAGGUUAUCCUCCACAAGGGUACCCUCCUCAACAAGGCUAUGGCUAUCCUCCACCACAACAGUAUGCUCAACAACAACCUCCUCAAAGACAAGAAGUUGGUUUUCUUGAAGGGUGUUUGGCUGCACUCUGCUGCUGCUGUAUGCUAGAUGCUUGCUUUUAG